AUGGAUACACAACCCUACAAGUUACUGGUGUGGAACAUGCGCGGUUUGAACUCGCCGACACGAUGUAACGCUAUCUUCCAGGUGGUUCAGGCGCCGAGUCCGGCCAUCGUUUGCCUCCAAGAAACAAAGACUGAAACCAUGUCAUCUAAAAUUGUACAUUUCCUUGGCAAUAAAUUCGAAAGCUUUUAUUACCUGCCGGCUGUGGGGACUCGUGGAGGGAUUCUAAUCGCAUGGGAUGAGAUGGUGGUGGCGCUCCCGAACCUGCAUCACACACCAAACACACUCUCGGCCCUGGUCAAGCCAAAGAGUGGUGGACAUUGGUGGAUGACCGGGGUGUAUCAUGAAACUCAUGAGACACAUCACCAAAGUUGA
rnacentral:rRNA from 1 species